rnacentral:rRNA from 1 species
GGGCUCAACCUGGGAACUGCAUUCGAAACUGGCAGGCUUGAGUCUUGUAGAGGGGGGUGGAAUUCCAGGUGUAGCGGUGAAAUGCGUAGAGAUCUGGAGGAAUACCGGUGGCGAAGGCGGCCCCCUGGACAAAGACUGACGCUCAGGUGCGAAAGCGUGGGGAGCAAACAGGAUUAGAUACCCUGGUAGUCCACGCCGUAAACGAUGUCUACUUGGAGGUUGUGCCCUUGAGGCGUGGCUUCCGGAGCUAACGCGUUAAGUAGACCGCCUGGGGAGUACGGCCGCAAGGUUAAAACUCAAAUGAAUUGACGGGGGCCCGCACAAGCGGUGGAGCAUGUGGUUUAAUUCGAUGCAACGCGAAGAACC